UUUGUAGUGUACCGGGGAUGUAAAGUUACUCAAAUGAGCAAAGGCUCUUGCUUCUUUUGCUUAUCUGUUGAAAACACUUCACUGGAAAAAACACAUCAGGUAAGAUAACAGCUACAUGUGUGUUGGAAUAGAGCUAAGCUAGCUAGCUAGCGAGCAUGUUGAGCAUCAAGCUAGGCGACUUAAAUUGUGUGAGACGAGAGAUGUUGUUCACUGAGCGGUUUCUCACAAAACUAAGUGGUACGAUAACAAACUGAGACUUUCUUCUUGCAAAGGUAUCCUUUAAAAUGACAAA